CGGUCAUGGAGAGUCUCCAUCCAGCUGGAUCACUGUCACAGGGGAACACACCACCUCUCCUACUGUUCUCUCUGUGUUGUCAUCUGUUCGAUCAGUCUGUGUUCUGGUUCUACUGGUGUUACUGGUUCUGCUGGUGAGACGAUAUGUUCACAAGAAACCCGAAGUAGCCAACCUCUCAUCAGUGUGUCCUGGUUUCUCAACACCUGACACAGCUCUUGGUAAUGCGGGUGACGCCCAAGCUGAGAGUGAUUCAACUGUAAUCUACUCAACAGUGAGAACACAACCCAUCAAUUAUGAACAAGUAACGAUCACAACACACAGGACCAGAGACUUUAAACCAGAGCCAGACGUCAUCUACUCUUUACUACCAUUCCAGCAGAAGUAGUCCACCAGUCCAACCACUGAUGUCCAGCUGCUGGUCUCUAACUGGUCCCCGCAGUACCUCAAACCAGAAGACAUCCACAUGUUACCUGUAUCUUCUUUGUCCAAUUAUUUCGCCAUUUCAAAUUGGAUGUAUUCUGAGCAGAGUUUUAAACGUGGACUUAAAAUCACCAAUAAUAAUAUAAUGGUUUCUGUUGCUCUCAUAGUAGUGAUCUGUUUUCUAUGUUAGAUUAAUAAAACGUUUUUCUAA